AGAGUUUGAUCAUGGCUCAGAUUGAACGCUGGCGGCGUGCCUAACACAUGCAAGUCGAGCGGUAACAGGUGUAGCAAUACAUGCUGACGAGCGGCGAACGGGUGAGUAAUGCUUCGGAAUCUACCCAAUGGCGGGGAAUAACUAGCCGAAAGGUUAGCUAAUACCGCAUAAGCCCUACGGGGGAAAGCAGGGGAUCGUAAGACCUUGCACCGAUGGAUGAGCCGAAGCCGGAUUAGCUAGUUGGUAGGGUAACGGCCUACCAAGGCGACGAUCCGUAGCUGGUCUGAGAGGACGACCAGCCACACUGGGACUGAGACACGGCCCAGACUCCUACGGGAGGCAGCAGUGGGGAAUAUUGGACAAUGGGGGAAACCCUGAUCCAGCGACGCCGCGUGUGUGAAGAAGGCCUGCGGGUUGUAAAGCACUUUUAGUGGGGAUGAAAAGUUCAGGGCUAAUAUCCCUGGAUCUUGACCUAACCCAAAGAAAAAGCACCGGCUAACUCUGUGCCAGCAGCCGCGGUAAUACAGAGGGUGCAAGCGUUAAUCGGAAUUACUGGGCGUAAAGCGUGCGUAGACGGUUAUGUAAGUCAGGUGUGAAAGCCCCGGGCUCAACCUGGGAAUGCCAUUUGAGACUGCAUAGCUAGGGUACGGAAGAGGGAAGCGGAAUUUCAGGUGUAGCGGUGAAAUGCGUAGAUAUCUGAAGGAACACCAGUGGCGAAAGCGGCUUCCUGGUCCAGUACCGACGUUCAGGCACGAAAGCGUGGGGAGCAAACAGGAUUAGAUACCCCCGUAGUCC
rnacentral:rRNA from 1 species